rnacentral:rRNA from 1 species
UACGAAGGGGGCUAGCGUUGCUCGGAAUUACUGGGCGUAAAGGGAGCGUAGGCGGAUAGUUUAGUCAGAGGUGAAGGCCCAGGGCUCAACCUUGGAAUUGCCUUUGAUACUGGCUAUCUUGAGUACGGAAGAGGUAUGUGGAACUCCGAGUGUAGAGGUGAAAUUCGUAGAUAUUCGGAAGAACACCAGUGGCGAAGGCGACAUACUGGUCCGUUACUGACGCUGAGGCUCGAAAGCGUGGGGAGCAAACAGG